GGGGUCUUAGCGGAGCGGUUACCGCGUUGGUCUUCGGCAUUCCCGGGAUCGAACGGGCAAGUUGUCAACCAAAGGUCGUCGGUUCGAUCCCGGCAGAUCUCA
rfam:Dacryopinax sp. DJM-731 SS1 chromosome Tnknown DACRYscaffold_3, whole genome shotgun sequence.